rnacentral:misc_RNA from 1 species
GACUUAACACAUGAAAUUUCUAUAAUUACUCUGUAAUCAAGAAUAGGCUUUCGCAGAGCUUCAUUAGCUAACACAGCAUCUCUGUCCGCUGGUUCCAAUGUCCAGAGGCAUAUUGCCCUCUUCUUGUCGGGAUAUAUAUCAACAAAUUAAUAAUGCCAAUAUAAAAAGAACAGAAAUUUUAAUUAUUUUACAAUAAGGCAUUGAUCCAAAAUUAUAUGUGAUAUAUAUAGAAAUAUAUAAUUUAAAC